rnacentral:rRNA from 1 species
AGAGUUUGAUCCUGGCUCAGAACGAACGCUGGCGGCAGGCCUAACACAUGCAAGUCGAGCGCACCCUUCGGGGCGAGCGGCGGACGGGUUAGUAACGCGUGGGAACAUACCCUUUUCUACGGAAUAGCCUCGGGAAACUGAGAGUAAUACCGUAUAAGCCCUUCGGGGGAAAGAUUUAUCGGGAAAGGAUUGGCCCGCGUUAGAUUAGAUAGUUGGUGGGGUAAUGGCCUACCAAGUCUACGAUCUAUAGCUGGUUUUAGAGGAUGAUCAGCAACACUGGGACUGAGACACGGCCCAGACUCCUACGGGAGGCAGCAGUGGGGAAUCUUAGACAAUGGGCGCAAGCCUGAUCUAGCCAUGCCGCGUGUGUGAUGAAGGCCUUAGGGUCGUAAAGCACUUUCGCUAGGGAUGAUAAUGACAGUACCUAGUAAAGAAACCCCGGCUAACUCCGUGCCAGCAGCCGCGGUAAU